GUAAAAAGAAACCAGUGAAUUUGUAUAUUUUUUAUUAUUAUUUCUAAUGUUUAUUUAUUUUGAGAGAGAGAGAGAGAGAGAGAGAGGGAAUGCAUAUUAGCAGGUGAGGGACAGAGAGAGAGAGAGAGAGAGGGAGAGAGAGAAUCCCAAGCAGGCUCAGUGCUGUCAGUGCAGAACCUGAUGUGGGGCUCAAUCUCAUAAAUGAGAUGAUCUGAGCCGAGAUCAAGAGUCAGAUGCUUAACCAACUGAGCUACCCAGGAGCCCCUCUGUAAUAUAUAUUAAUACAGAAUAUCAAAGCAAUUAUUUCCACAUGUACUCAAUAUAAAAAUUACUAAUUAUUUUACUUUUUUUGGUGUUGUACUAAGUUUUAAAAAUCUUGCCGCACAUCUCAGUUAGGAUGAGACACAUUUCAAGUGGUCAGCAGAGCAUGAUGCUAGUGGCUUUUAUAAUGUACAGUGUAAGUCUAUCAUUUUAUUCUCUUUCUCUCAUCAGAUUCAUUACCAAGCAGUCAUAGCAAGAGUAUUAACUUUUUCCUGUUCAAUGAACUUCCCAAAGGGUAGAUGACAAGGAGAUAUAAGGAAUUUGGGCAGUUAAUUCCCUGAGGAAGUAAGUUCAUUGUUUUAGAUAGACUAUAAAAGAAAGAUAUCUGGUCCACAUUGUUACAGCCUCAAGAAAGAAUUAUAAUUUGAAACCUGUUCUUUUUUUGACAAUGAUAUCACAUCAAGGAAGCAGAGAUAGACUUUCCGUGUGGAGAUAUAGCAUAUUAGAAUUCCUUAGAAUUUGGCAAACAGCAUCCUAAAUUGGAAUAAAAAGCACUGGCCUUCCCACACUAUUCAGUCACUUUAGAAUGAGAAUGGAGGCACAGGUAGAGAUUUUACGUGUAAUCCUUGUGCAGGGGCCGUGCUAAUCUCUGCAUUGUUCCAAUUUUAAUACAUGUGCUGCUGAAGUGAGCACGGGGGUAGAGAUUUUAAAUGAGUGAUUUGUUGUUAUUCAAUGUGACUGAUGGAGUUUCUUCUAAGAUACUAGGCUAUGGAAUAAUUAGAGUUUUGCGUUAUUUUUAUGCAGUCCUACAGUCCAAAGAAUAGAAUUUUAUUAGCUGUAAUUGACAGAACAAGUAAAUGCAACACAAACACAUUAAUCAAAUUCAUUUUUCCUGAGUCUUUUUUUUUUUUUUUUUUUAACCUAGUAUUAGUGCUUCUCUUUGUGAAGUCUGCAUUCUAGGUCUUAGUGAUAGGUAGGGAUUAUGGUUAGGUUCCUUAAGGGAAAUAGGUUAAGGGUGGGGUUGCCAUAUAAUUUAUCGUCUUAACCACAGCACCUCUAGAGUUGAGAGAGAGUGCUGUUAAUAAUUAUAUCGGGACAACAUGUGUUAAACCAGAGGUGUCCCAAGCAGAUUAGGACACAUGGCCACCCAAGUUAAAAGGCUUUGUUAAAGCUUUGCUAUCUUCUGUUUUGGCAAUCCUGGUAGGCUAUGGAAAGUGCAUUUGUGGAAGUUAUCACUUUUAAGGGCCUGUUCUGUCGGUGACAUCUCCUUUAUCUCAGGGCUUAGACAACUUUUUAUUUAGGGCACAUUGAACUUGAGAGGUUGAAUGAGAAGGAAAAGGUAAAAGGUUUUAAUUUAACAGACUGGCUAUAUCUCCCAUCCCCUACAAAAAGGUUUUGCAGGUAUGAAAUGUGACAGAAGAAUGUUUUCUUUUAAUUGUGCAAAGUUAUUGUCUUUAAAUCUUCUAGAUUAACUCCUUAAAAGCAAGUACAAAAAAACUGAGCAUUGGGGGUGCCGGACUGGUUCAUUCUGUGGAGUGUGCAAUUCUUGAUCUUGGGGUUGUGAGUUUGAGCCCCACACUGGGUGUAGAGAUUACUUAAAAAUAAAAUCUUUGAAACAAAACAAAACAAAACACCAAAAAAUAAUGGAGCACUUUCUUCCUGAUAAAAUUAGGUUGCAAGACAUUGAUUACACAUUUGAUUUUUAUUGUUCAGUGCUUUUAUUUAGAUUUUUUUUGUUAACCAUCUUUGAAAGAGAUAUCGUAGUAUAUCUGCUUGAUCUGGUGGCUUUUUACAUGUAAAAGGCAUGGGAUAUGUGAUGCCAUAUAUCUUGGAUAUACAUGAUUUUAGAGGAGAUACUGAUUUUUUUCCUAGACUUUUCUUUUUUUAGCAUAUAUAAUAAAAUUGACUUUUUUUGCUUGUACAUUUAUGUGAAUUUUAAUGCAUGUGUAGAUUUGUGUAACCACAUUAGCAAUCAGGAUACAGAACAAUUCCUUCACCCUUAAAAUUCUCUUGUGCUGUCCAGUGGACUCAAACCCUCCUCUCAUCCACCACCCCUGGCAACCUUUGAUCUGUUCUCUGUUCUUAUGCUCUUGCCUUUUGCAGAUUAUCACAUAAAUGGAAUCAAAUAGUUUGUAACACUUGGAGAUUGGCUUUCACUCUGCAUUAUGCCUUUGAGAUCCACCCAUGUUGUUCCAUGUAUCAAUAGUUUGUUCCUUUUUAUUGCUGAGUUGUUUUCCAUUGUAUGGAUGUACCACAGUUUUGUCUUUUACCAAAAUUGGUAAGUUUUCACCGAUUAUUUCUUCAAAUAUUUUUUUCUGCACUGUAUUCUUUGUUUUCUUUCUGAUGACAUGGUUGUUAUACACCCACAGAUUCCUGAGGCUCUGACCUCCUUUGAGAACACUGUUGUUCAUUCCUUGGUGUCAUUCAUUCAACAGUUUUUGAACACUUGUUUUCUAUUCUCCUGUUAAUAGGCAGCUAUUUACAGGGUGUUUUUUUGUUUGUUUUGUUUUGGUUUGUUUUAGAGAGAGCACAAGAGUGUGACUGGCGGGGGAGACACGUGGGGGAGGGAGGGAGGGAGGGGGGGGGAGAGAGAGAGAGAGAGAGAGAGAGAGAGAGAGAAUCUCAAGCAGGCUCUGCAUUCAGUGCAAAGCCAGACAUGAGUGUCGAUCCCACGACCUUGGGAUCCUGACCUCAGUCAAAAUCAAGAGUCAGACACUCAACCGACUGAGCCACCCAGGCGCCCCUCCAGGAUUUUUUUUUCUCUAAUAAAAUUGCAGCUGUGAACAUUCUUGUGCAGGUCUCUCUGGGUACCCGGCCCAGGCUUUCUCUAUGGUAUUUGCCAACAAGCAGGAUUGCUAGGGUGUAGGAUUUGCAUAUUUUUCUUAACAUAUGCUGCCCAAAGUGGUCAUGAGCAAUUUACUUUUUCACCAGCAGUGUGUAAGAGUUUACAUUGCUCUAUAUCCUUUUCAACACGUGGUGUUGUCAAGCUUUUUAUUUUUUAUAUAUGUAAUGGGUAUGAAAUGGAAUCUCCUAGUCUUUUAAAUUAUUUUUCUGAUUAUGAGUGAGGCUGAGCAUUUAAAAAAUAUAUUAGCUGUUCAUGUUUCUCCUACUAUAAGUUGACCGUUUAUAUCUUUAAUCCAUUUUUCUAUUUAAAUUUAAAAUCAGCUCUUGGGGCCCCUGGUUGGUCAUGAUCUCAUGGUUCAUCCACAUUGUCAGUGCAGAGCCUGCUUGGGAUUCUGUUUCCCUCUCUUCUGCCCCUCCCCUGCCCCCAAAAUAAACAAAUAAACAUUAAAAAAAAUAAAAUUAAAACCUGCUCUUAGGAUCAGUUUUAAGUGUUUUCUGUAUAAUUGUACUGUUUUAAAUAUUUGUCCUUGAUCAAAAAACUUUCAGUGGCCUCUGAUAUGAAAUCAAGGGUCCCUAAUUUAUCUUUUUAGAUAUUCUACUUCAAAAAUCAUCAUUGCACAGAGCUUCUGGGUUGGUGAACAUGUGGAGAUGUGGGGACAGUGGUAUGCCUGGAGAGAGCAUGGAAGCUCCGUGCCCCUUCCCACAUACCUUGCCCUACGCAUCUCUUCUGUCUGGUUGUCUCCAGGGAGACACUGUCAGAAUUGAGUUGAAUUCUUGGAUACUCUGCUGGUGUCCAAGAAUUGCUUCUUGGUGGGCUGGAAAACACCUUCACACACACAUAGGUAUUGAGUCCAGGAACCCAAAAUAGUUGUUAUGUGUCAGGAAAGGGAAGUUGGCACAGAAGAAUAAUCUGGAUGAGAUUUGGAACAGUGAUCAUCUAUGAGCCGUGACAGUCGUUCAGCCAGCUCCUCGGAAACCCGAACACAAUUUUCAUGAAAGAGAAACUGUGUAAGAAAAUUCACGUGAAUCAACUACACCUUGAUGAGUUUCAAAUGUCAGUUUGACUUUAAAAGGUUGUAAAAUACAUUUCAUAUCAAAUUAUGGCCACAGGAGCAAAGGUCUGUCAGAUGGAAAAGGCUUCAACAACAACCUCUGUGUCAAAACUUCUGUGUCUCAACUUAACACACAUCUAGUUAAAAAACAAACAAACAAAAUGAUUCCUCAUUUUCUGCCUUCUGAAACUUUGUACACUGUUUUGUUAUAUUUUAUGGACUCAAUAUGUUCUCUGUAUAAAUUCAGAUUGGUGAUGCAUGUCAGCAGCUGAAACAUAUUUAGUAUUUUAAAACCAAAUCAGCAUUUGCUACAUCUGUAGACCUCAUGUCUAGAUAAGUAGCCAUUUUUAGCCUGUGUUAUAUCAUAUCAGUGUUGCCAUACAUUGUUAGCAAAAUACUGUCCCAGUGACACAUGUUUGUAUACUACAUAGCAUGAAAAUGUUUAACUUGGGAAAUACAGUUGACUUUUGAACAACACGGGUUUGAACUACAUAGGUCCACCUAUAUGUGGAUUUUUUUUACAGCACAUUAUAUGAAUGUUAUCUCUCAUGAUUUUUCUAAUUCCUUUCUCUAGCUUUAUUAUAAGAAUACGGUGUAUUAUAUGUGUAUAUAUAUAUACAUACACACACAUAUAAUACACAUAAACAGUGUCAACCAGCUGUUUAUGUUAUUGGUAAGACUUCUGGUCAAAGUAGGCUAUUAGUCGUUAAGUUUUUGGGGAGUCAAAUGUUAUAUAUGGAUAUUCAAUUGUGAAGGGGUCAGCACCCAUAACACCUGCAAUUUUUAAUUCUCUUUUUCUUUUAGGGUAGAGUUUUAACUUUUUUUAAUAAUUUAUUUUUUAAUUUACAUCCAUGUUAGUUAGCAUAUAGUGCAACAAUGAUUUCAGGAGUAGAUUCCUUAAUGCCCCUUACCCAUUUAGCCCAUCCCCCCUCCCACAACCCUUCCAGUAACCCUCUGUUUGUUCUCCAUGUUUAUGAGUCUCUUCUGUUUUGUCCCCCUCCCUGUUUUUGUAUUAUUUUUGCUUCCCUUCCCUUAUGUUCAUCUGUUUUAUACCUUAAAGUCCUCAUAUGAGUGAAGUCAUAUGAUUUUUGUCUUUCUCUGACUGACUAAUUUCACUUAGCUUAAUACCGUCUAGUUCCAUCCACGUAGUUGCAAAUGGCAAAAUUUCAUUCUUUUUGAUGGCCGAGUAAUACUCCAUUGUAUAUAUAUAUACCACAUCUUCUUUGUCCAUUCAUCUGUCGAUGAACAUUUGGGCAAUUUCCAUAUUUAGGCUAUUGUCAAUAGUGCUGCUAUAAACAUUGGGGUGCAUGUGUCCCUUUGAAAUAGCAUACCUAUAUCCCUUGCAUAAAUACCUAGUAGUGUGAUUGCUGAGUUGUAGGGUAGUUCUAUUUUUAAUUUUGGGGGGAACCUCCAUACUGUUUCCCAGAGUGGCUGCACCAGUUUGCAUUCCCACCAACAGUGCAAAAGAGAUCCUCUUCCUCCGCAUCCUCGCCAACAUCUGUUGUUGCCUGAGUCGUUAACAUUAGCCAUUUUGACAGGUGUGCAGUGGUAUCACGUUGUGGUUUUGAUUUGUAUUUGCCUGAUGAUGAGUGAUGCUGAGCAUCUUUUCAUGUGUUGGUUGUAAUUCUUAAACUACCCUUGUGUUUCUGGCUUCUUCCUAGCUGGAAGUUCCUGGCUUCCAUAAAGCCAGUUGAAGUGGUGGUUUUGUUUCUUAGUGGCCGUGCUUUGUGUGUGAGAUGUACUGUGGAGUAGAGAUGUUGUAGUUUAGUAAUAAUGCACAUUAAGUAAAUAAAAUAAUUCCUCUGUAAAUGAGGUAAUUGCACAUUAGCAAUAGUCAUUCAGUAUCACUCUUGACAUUUGGCCAUCAUGUUCAUCUGCCUGUUCAUGAUGAAGGGAGCCAUGUCUUUGGCAGAUUAUUUUGCCAGAUGUCCAGGGUUUCCUUCCCAAAUGGAGCAGCUUGAGUCACAUGAGGCUGGCCUUGAUCUUAAUGGAGGUCAGUUUAUAUAUAGUUUGUAGAGCUGACAAGUAGAAAACAAAGAUUCGUGAAGUUCAUCCCUUGCUAUGCCUUAUGGGAUGAAGUUUGUGCUUCUUGUGCUCUGUGGUGCAAGGGUCUCACAUGGGUAGCAAAGAAGCCUGGGAGAGAAAGGACAGGGACUUUUUUUUCUUGUUUUCUUUUUUUCAGUUUGGAGCUUUGUCCUGCCCCAAGGAAGGCAGUGCAUUCUAGGAAAAAGAACAGUGAACUUAGCCUAUUUUCUGCUCUAGUUCUGGUUUCAUUUUUUAUUUCGUAUGUUUAGAUGAUCACCCACAUUUUUCUCCUUUAUUAAAUGGAGGUAAUAUUGCUUCUCCUUUGUUCCCAUGAAAGAUGGCAGGAUAGGCAAACUUGAGGCUCUUUUACUGCCCUUGUAGAAGUAGCACGUGGCUGUGUAAAAUACUACUAAAAAAGCCAAAAAAGAGAGCACGUAUUGCCCAACAGAUAAUAUUAGUGACGAAGCUGAUUAUCCCCACUGUCAAUACUUACGCUUCUAGAAGUUUCCAAAUUAUGGUUACCUUUUGAGUGAGCGAUCUGUGUAUAAUGCCUCUAGUGGGUACUAUAAUACGAUUAUAAAGAAUUAAAGGUGAUGUAAUCUGUAAGUCUCACAUUUAUAGAGACUAUUCUCAAAGAGCACUUUCAUAACUUUUCCUUUUAUUCCAUUGGAAUAACUAAAGCAGGGUUCUUAUAUCUGUUUUUAUGAUAUACUGUUGGCAGAAAUAAUCAUUUCCAUAUGUACAUCACAUUAUAAUUUAAAAAAUCUCUUUCAUACAUUAUCUCAGAGGAGACCUGCAGAGGUUAAAUGAUGUCCUGAGGACAUAACACUACUUAGUGACCGAUUCACAUUUGAAUCCAGAGCUUCUUGGUGUCCAUCCCAUCAAGAUAUCUUGAUGGGGAGAAUAAUACAGCAAAUCUAGAAUGUGCUUUAUGCUUGAGCGCUAAGAAGAUGCAAGCAUUAAUCAAGUUGAGAGAGCAUUCUUUUCUUCCCUUAGUACUGUAUCAACAGAUGUGUUGCUAGCACUCUGGUGGUGGGAAUAACUAUGAACGGUAACAAAACAACAAAAUGUAAGCACAUUGGGAAGACAGACAUGAAGCAAGUCUGAUAGCAGUCUUAGGUCUUCCUUUUAUUUUGGGUUUUGCCUGCAGCAUGGGUCACAGGAAGAAUCAGUCUGUUGUAGAGACAGAGGCCUGUUAAGUCCUCUGGUUUGCAGACCUAUGUUUGUUCUUUGCAGCUGAAUUAUAGCUGCUGUGAGACUGUAAGCUUGGAAUUUAUGGUAAUAGAAACUUUAAAUGUCCCAAACAUUGUAAUAUGGGUGGAAGGAGCCCUUUUCUUAGGGGAGCAGGGUCACAUAUUUAUUUUGAAUUUGAGCUGAAUCAACAGGCAGUUUCUGAGAAUACGGUUUCCAAGUUCAAAGAAACUACAGUUAUGCUACUAUGUGUAAAUCUGGUGGUUUUCAUGUGUUGUGUGGAUAUAAAUAUAGUUUCUUCUUUUGAGAGGCUCUAAUUUUAAGCAAGGUUUAGUGUCUCUGACAUGAUUUUUCUUUUCCUUUUUUUUUUUAAUGUUUAUUUACUUCUGAGAGACAGAGUGUGAGUGAAGAAGGGGUACAGAGAGAGGGAGACACAGAAUCUGAAGCAGACUCCAGGCUCUGAGCUGUCAGCACACAGCCUGACGCG